AUUGAACGCUGGCGGCAUGCUUUACACAUGCAAGUCGAACGGUAACAGGGAGCUUGCUCCGCUGACGAGUGGCGAACGGGUGAGUAAUGCGUCGGAACGUGCCGAGUAAUGGGGGAUAACGCAUCGAAAGGUGUGCUAAUACCGCAUACGAACUGAGGUUGAAAGUGGGGGACCUUCGGGCCUCACGCUAUUCGAGCGGCCGACGUCUGAUUAGCAAGUUGGUGAGGUAAAGGCUCACCAAGGCGACGAUCAGUAGCGGGUCUGAGAGGAUGAUCCGCCACACUGGGACUGAGACACGGCCCAGACUCCUACGGGAGGCAGCAGUGGGGAAUUUUGGACAAUGGGCGCAAGCCUGAUCCAGCCAUGCCGCGUGUCUGAAGAAGGCCUUCGGGUUGUAAAGGACUUUUGUCCGGGAGCAAAUGCUGGUGGCUAACAUCCACCGGAGCUGAGAGUACCGGAAGAAUAAGCACCGGCUAACUACGUGCCAGCCGCCGCGGUAAUAC
rnacentral:rRNA from 1 species